GACGAACGCUGGCGGCGCGCCUAACACAUGCAAGUCGAACGGAGUUGUGUUGAAAGCUUGCUGGAUAUACAACUUAGUGGCGGACGGGUGAGUAACACGUGAGUAACCUGCCUCUCAGAGUGGAAUAACGUUUGGAAACGAACGCUAAUACCGCAUAACGUGAGAAGAGGGCAUCCUCUUUUUACCAAAGAUUUAUCGCUGAGAGAUGGGCUCGCGGCCGAUUAGGUAGUUGGUGAGAUAACAGCCCACCAAGCCGACGAUCGGUAGCCGGACUGAGAGGUUGAUCGGCCACAUUGGGACUGAGACACGGCCCAGACUCCUACGGGAGGCAGCAGUGGGGGAUAUUGCACAAUGGGGGAAACCCUGAUGCAGCGACGCCGCGUGAGGGAAGACGGUUUUCGGAUUGUAAACCUCUGUCUUUAGGGACGAAAAAAUGACGGUACCUAAGGAGGAAGCCACGGCUAACUACGUGCCAGCAGCCGCGGUAAUACGUAGGUGGCAAGCGUUGUCCGGAAUUACUGGGUGUAAAGGGAGCGUAGGCGGGGAGACAAGUUGAAUGUCUAAACUAUCGGCUUAACUGAUAGUCGCGUUCAAAACUAUCACUCUUGAGUGCAGUAGAGGUAGGCGGAAUUCCUAGUGUAGCGGUGAAAUGCGUAGAUAUUAGGAGGAACACCAGUGGCGAAGGCGGCCUACUGGGCUGUAACUGACGCUGAGGCUCGAAAGCGUGGGUAGCAAACAGGAUUAGAUACCCUGGUAGUCCACGCCGUAAACGAUGAUUACUUAGGUGUGGGGGGACGGACCCCUUCCGUGCCGGAGUUAACACAAUAAGUAAUCCACCUGGGGAGUACGACCGCAAGGUUGAAACUCAAAGGAAUUGACGGGGGCCCGCACAAGCAGUGGAGUAUGUGGUUUAAUUCGAAGCAACGCGAAGAACCUUACCAGGUCUUGACAUCGAGCGACGAACUUAGAGAUAAGUUCUUCCUUCGGGACGCGAAGACAGGUGGUGCAUGGUUGUCGUCAGCUCGUGUCGUGAGAUGUUGGGUUAAGUCCCGCAACGAGCGCAACCCUUAUCAUUAGUUGCUACGCAAGAGCACUCUAAUGAGACUGCCGUUGAUAAAACGGAGGAAGGUGGGGAGGACGUCAAAUCAUCAUGCCCCCUAUGACCUGGGCUACACACGUACUACAAUGGUGAUCAAACAGAGGGAAGCAACACAGCGAUGUGAAGCAAAUCCCGAAAAAUCAUCUCAGUUCAGAUUGCAGGCUGCAACUCGCCUGCAUGAAGUCGGAAUUGCUAGUAAUCGCGGAUCAGCAUGCCGCGGUGAAUAAGUUCCCGGGCCUUGCACA
rnacentral:rRNA from 1 species